rnacentral:lncRNA from 1 species
AAAUUUGAAUUUAUUAUGCCGCCUCAAACUUUUUUAAAUUAUUGCAAUCAAACACUAUAACCUAAUUUAAUUUAUUAGAUAUUAAUUACCAGUAAUAUAAAAAUAAUAUAUUAGUAUUCUGAUCAAUAAUAUAAUAAUUAAGAUGUCAUAUUAUUUUUAUAUAAGUUGUACAUUAAUACUUAGUCAACUAAAUUAGACUAUGUGAUUUGGUUAUACUAGUUAGAAGGAUUUAAGUUAAAGAUUAUAAUAAAUAAAAAUUUGAAGACUAAAAUAUCAUAUUUUUUUAUAGUUUGAGAAAUCAAAAGUAUAAUUUAUUUAUUUUAUUAUAAUU